UUUUUUCACUCUCUGGGGAAGUUGGAGAUUUGAGUCAGGUUCUUAAUACUUCUCUUGGUAGCCAGUGCUCAGUUAACUUCAAAGAGGUGAGAGCCACAAUCAUGAACCCCUUUACACAAUUCUCUGUUGGCAGUUGCUAAGUUAACAUGAAUGUAGCUCAUAUCUUUGGGGGGGUGGGGGGUGGGAGGAAAGAAUGACUGCCUCGAGCUGUGAGGUGAUAUUUUGCCAUCCAGAGCUACACAGGCUAUACUCGGGUUUAUUUGGAGUGGUGAAUUGGCAAGUUGAAGUCUGGCGUAUCCCACUCAUAUCUCCUCCCAUUCCCAAAAAUAUUAAACUAAAGGAUUAUUAGUCUAUGGACUUUCUUUGAACAAAUUACAGGUGAGACGUCUCUUGCCUUCCUGCGUGUGUGUUUCUGGUGAGGAUACAUACGCCUUUCUAAGCCUGCACGGGGUGAGGUGACCUGCUGUAGGGCUUGUGACCAGCAUUUUUACACUUGAGCUUGGGAAUGGGAUGGAGGCAGGCAAAUGCCUAUGAAAAUGAUGUGCUUCCUUACACCUGCAGUCAGCCCUUAAGAUUUCCAAAUUCGUCCCACACAACAAAAAGUUGUCUGUCCUGUUUUUCUUAUCUGGCGGAAGUGGGGGCUGGGGUCAGAGGUAUGGAGAGGAGGGAGAAUUUGGGGUUGAGACAGCAUUUCUGAGCCCCUGGUGCCGUACUUGUGCUGAUAUCAUGAUACCAGUAUACAUAUUUCAGGAAAUUCUCAUUGUUCUUUUUCCCUUUUUACAGAAAAGUAAAUUGAAUUUCAGAGAGAUGGAACAUCCUAACGUUAAAGCCAUCAUCCUUAUGAAGAUGAGUGGUCCUCAAAAAAGGAUGGAAAAAAGGCAUCUCAGAAAGAGGAAACUGACUUCCCAAGGUCACACUGAAAAGUAUUGCAGAGAUGGGACUAUGGACACUCAGGCCACCUGGACAUCUGACCUCCACCUCCAUUGGUUCCCAUGCUCCAGCCAGCUGCGGCCUGCCGCCCACAAAGUACUUGAGGCAGUCCCAGUCCCUGGGGCCAUCUUUCUGGUCUGCAGGACCCUGAGUCUAAAAGACCGCUAGUCCCUUGCUGAAGCGGGUCCAUGCCAGGUGAACAGGAGAUGGACCAGGCCACCUAAGAAAUGAGCUUUUGCCAAAGGACUGCACACGGAGCCUUUCUUUCUGGCCUCCACAUCUGCAUGCCCGGGGGCAAGCCUUGUCAACGUCUCACCCCUGUAAGUACAGUAAGUACACAGCUAAAUACAGUCUGGCUGUGCUCGCUUCGGCAGCACAUACACUAAAUGCAGUCUGGCUUUACUAAUUCAGGUACAUCAAUGGAAAGGCAAGUUGAAUUGAAGACUGUUAUUAAAUAAACGUGGUUUUCUUACUUUCAACUGUAGGUAAUUCUUUCUAACAGUGUUAUUGGGCUGGAAGCACUUCCAAGAUAGGCUUUCAUGGAGUUUAUCGGGAUUGUAAUUAGCAGAGCAAUUGCGAUCAUUUCAAAGUCAUUCGAAGCAGAUUAAACCCAUGGAAGAGAAUCAACUGCUCCAAAACACAAUAGCAGUCUCCAUGCACACGCCAGCAAUUGCUGUGCCAAUUACAAACGCGUGGACUCAAACAGCUGCUGUAAAUCUUAGUCCUGAUGCAGUAUCAGACAUCCCUCCCAGCAAAAAACCUCUCAUUCACUAAGUAAAUAGAUGUUUAAAGGAUGCCUACUAUGGGCCAGGCACUCUCCAAUGUGUUGGGAGCCACAAUACACAAAGCACUUACCCUGUAGGGCUAACACCCUCGGGGAGAGACACCAUUUUCAAGCUAAUUAUAUAAACAAUAUCAUUUCAAAUAGGAUAAAUCAAUGAAGAGAUAUAACAAAGGGUCUGAUUAGUUGGGGUUGGGGUGGGAUUCAAGAGAUGGCACCUGAGCUGAGACCUGAAUGACAGGAUGGAAUACGCCCGGCAGAGAGGAUGGUGAGUGCAAAGCUAACUCAGUCUACACCGCCCCCUGAAUAAGACGCAAGGCCAAGAUUUCAGUGAAAAUGGUUUACUUGGGAGGUGCAGGAAAGGAGCAGUGGGGGGGGCAAAAGCAAGAUGGGGAAGGACUUAAGAAGGGAUUUGCCAAUAAAAAAUAAUCGAGUCAGCUCCAUUGCAGGUGACUGCAGUGGCAUCUCCCAGUGACACUGGGAAACAGUGCAGAGCCCACCCCUGAGUUAUCCCACUGAGAAGCGCAGGCAUGGGGGUAUUUAUACUCCCUAGCCCGUCAGUCCUUGGUGAGGGCUCUCCCUGGCACCUCUGCCCACUGCUCAUGGGCAGGGCGUCUGCCAUGGCUGAAGCCAGUUGGUGGAAGGCCUGGCUGAGGGACGUGAGCUGGGCACUGGCAGCAUCUGCUACAUUCCAGAAGAAGUCAGUGAGAAUGGCAUAUAAAGCCUGUGGGGCAUGCGUGUAGGACAUGACGUCUGUGAGGAAGGCAGGGACCAGCUCACGUGAAGCCUGGCAGGCCAUGAUGAGCUUACAUUUUAAUCUAAGGGCAUUGGGAAGACAGCUGAGAAACAGAGCAACAGAGAAUGGAGGCGUCCAUAGCAGAAGGGCAGGCGGGAAAGAGGGUGGUUUCCACUGGCACGGGGUGUGCAAAAGGGACGGACCCGGGUGUGUUGCCACAGGACUGACAUGGGUUAGGUGUGGGGGAGAGAAGAGGAAGUGUGACGCCGUGGUUGGCCUAUGUUGCACUGAGACAAGAGCAGCUGGAUUGAGCCACUCAAGAACUGUAUAACUUGGGUCUGAUCUGGGCCUCAGUUUUCUCUAUUUGGGGAAAAAGGGAAUAGAACUAACCAACUUCUAAGAAUCCAUAGCUCUCAUAGACUAUGACUUUAAAAAAAAAGCAAUCACAAAAUUAAAAAAAAUAUUAAAAAAGACAUAUGUAA